rnacentral:rRNA from 1 species
ACGGGUGAGUAACGCGUGGGAACGUGCCUUCUGGUUCGGAAUAACUCAGGGAAACUUGAGCUAAUACCGGAUACGCCCUUUUGGGGAAAGGUUUACUGCCGGAAGAUCGGCCCGCGUCUGAUUAGCUAGUUGGUGGGGUAACGGCCUACCAAGGCGACGAUCAGUAGCUGGUCUGAGAGGAUGAUCAGCCACACUGGGACUGAGACACGGCCCAGACUCCUACGGGAGGCAGCAGUGGGGAAUAUUGGACAAUGGGCGCAAGCCUGAUCCAGCCAUGCCGCGUGAGUGAUAAAGGCCUUAGGGUUGUAAAGCUCUUUUAUCCGGGACGAUAAUGACGGUACCGGAGGAAUAAGCCCCGGCUAACUUCGUGCCAGCAGCCGCGGUAAUACGAAGGGGGCUAGCGUUGCUCGGAAUCACUGGGCGUAAAGGGCGCGUAGGCGGUCUUUUAAGUCGGGGGUGAAAGCCUGUGGCUCAACCACAGAAUUGCCUUCGAUACUGGGAGACUUGAGUUCGGAAGAGGUUGGUGGAACUGCGAGUGUAGAGGUGAAAUUCGUAGA